GGUAGAAUACCUGACAGACUGGGUUAUGGGAACAUCAAACCAAGCAGCAGAUGAUGAUGUAAAAUGUCUUACAAGGCAUCAGGUACCUGAAAAAGAAGAGAUCAAGGCUUUGAAAACGUUAAGUAUUUUCUACCAAGCUGGGGCUUCCAAAGCUGGGAAUCCUAUUUUUUAUUAUGCUGCACGGGCCACAUCACCAUCCUGGUGGAACCCUCCUGUGAGGACAGCCAAGGCC
rnacentral:lncRNA from 1 species